rnacentral:rRNA from 1 species
AUGUGGGAGUGUGGCCUUUCCCAUCUGGUCACUUCCCUGCUAUAUAAACGCAUGACACUUGGCCCCAACCACAGCAGACAGAUCCGAUAUACUACUACUAGAAGAGCCUUCAUCCAGCAUAGCAGUGGAAGAACAGUAGAGCAGAGCAGAGCCUUCUUCCUGCACAACCACCUUGCUGUUCAGGCCUAUCUAGUUCAGGAUGGAGAAGGUGAAGAGCCAUGGCAGCAAGCACAAGGGAUCAGCAGGAGGAGGGCUGAGCAGGAUGCUGAGGCAACACAAGGCCAGGCUCUACAUCAUCCGCCGAUGCGUUGUCAUGCUCCUCUCCUCUUGAUCUCAUUCUUCUCUCUAGCUUUAGGCUUGACAAAUUCUUUGGUGCGUGUGUACAUACUACAUAGCAUAGGACAUAACAUAGGGUAG